UUGGAGGGCAAGUCUGGUGCCAGCAGCCGCGGUAAUUCCAGCCCCAAUAGCGUAUAUUAAAGUUGCUGCAGUUAAAAAGCUCGUAGUUGAAUUUUGGGACCAAUAUGUCGGUCGUGCCCCGGUACGUACUGGCACCGUUGGUUUCUCCCUUCUGACGAACCAUGAUGUCAUUUAUUUGGUGUCGUGGGGAAUCAGGACUGUUACUUUGAAAAAAUUAGAGUGUUUAAAGCAGGCUCACGCUUGAAUACAUUAGCAUGGAAUAAUGAAAUAGGACGUUUGAUUCUAUUUUGUUGGUUUCUAGGAUCGACGUAAUGAUUAAUAGGGAUAGUUGGGGGCAUUAGUAUUCAAUUGUCAGAGGUGAAAUUCUUGGAUUUAUUGAAGACUAACUACUGCGAAAGCAUUUGCCAAGGAUGUUUUCAUUAAUCAAGAGCGAAAGUUAGGGGAUCGAAGACGAUCAGAUACCGUCGUAGUCUUAACCAUAAACUAUGCCGACUAGGGAUCGGAUGAUGUUAAUUUUUUAAUGACUCAUUCGGCACCUUACGGGAAAC
rnacentral:rRNA from 1 species